AACGAACGCUGGCGGCAUGCCUAACACAUGCAAGUUGAGCGACGAGCCAGGGCUUGCCCUGGGGCAAAGCAGCGAACGGGUGAGUAACACGUGGGUAACCUGCCCCGAUAACCGGGACAACCCGAGGAAACUCGGGCUAAUACCGGAUGUGCUCGCCGGACACCAGUCCGGCGCGUAAAGGAAGCUUCGGCCUCCGUAUCGGGAGGGGCCCGCGGCCCAUUAGCUAGUUGGUGAGGUAACGGCUCACCAAGGCCGCGAUGGGUAGCUGGUCUGAGAGGACGAUCAGCCACACUGGGACUGAGACACGGCCCAGACUCCUACGGGAGGCAGCAGUGGGGAAUCUUGCGCAAUGCGCGAAAGCGUGACGCAGCAACGCCGCGUGGGGGAAGAAGGCCUUCGGGUUGUAAACCCCUUUCAGGAGGGACGAAGGUUCGGCGGUGAAUAGCCGCCCGGACUGACGGUACCUCCACAAGAAGCCCCGGCUAACUACGUGCCAGCCGCCGCAGUAAGAC
rnacentral:rRNA from 1 species